rnacentral:lncRNA from 1 species
AAAAAUAGUAAGACUUUCCCACAAAGCUCCCUUUUGGUCUGCAAUUCAACCAGAAUGGCCUCGCAGAAAUCCAGGAAUUAUCAGAGGAUUGAGCAAAUGGCCUCUCCAGCAGACGACGUCUCUGUCUGGCUCUUCCUCUCUCUCUCUCUCUCUCUCUCUCUCUUCAAAUCACACUCCCGUCCCGCCUGUCUCGACAACUAGAGCUUUUCCACAAAGAAUUUAUCUUCCACAAAGGUUUCUGUUUGUUUGUAGAGAGCAUUGCUGGUUCUUCGAAGUGUUAUGAACCGGUUCAGUAUGCUGCAUUUAAAGACUGUGAGUGAAAACAGUGCAUAAAAGUUUGUGUUGCAUGUUUCCACUCCUGACCUCUGGAGUUCAGCUUGUCCACACCUGGCUUCCUUUAGCCUUCUAUAGAGAGACUCUUGUCAUAUAGAGAGGGAACAGGGUCCAAAUGAUUAACAAACACAUGGAGAAAGAAACACAAUCGGUUCCUCUGAUGAUACUGGGUGUAACGCCACUGUUUAGCUUCUCACGGAAAAGAAAAUGCCUUUGUUAAAGAGCCAUGGUGUGUGUAUGAAAGAGCCAUAGUCGAUUACAAAUUUAGUGGGUUUGACUAAAUUAGGUAUUUAUGAAAAUAAAAAUAUUGGCCAAGACUCAUUAUGAACAAUACAAAAGGAUCUUAAGAACCCCAAAAGGGAGGCCAAACUACGUGAAAAUGCAUGGCAGAUGUGUUUCCCUGGCAACAGCAAGGUCACGAGAAGCCUGCCUUUACGGGGAACAGAAAAGACAUUUCCUGUGUGUGCCGCCCAGUGGACAGAAAUGAAGGGGGCUGGAGGGGUGGCAGGAAACAACAGUGGCACUGCUGGGUUCACUUACUGCCCUGCUGGAGCCUCCGCCGCCACUGGACUACUGCUUCUGAAACCUCCUGCUGUUUGGGGUUCCUCAUCAUAAAUCCAGUACGGCUCUCAUAAAAACAGUUUUCCAACCACAAGAUGAAAGAUGAAAGACAGAGCAUUUGGAGAGACGUCUCGAUUUCACUCCUUCACACAUGAACAGCUGCAUCAAACUGCACCAGAUAUACACAGACUGUAAGUAACAGAAUAUUUAUAGCUAAACCUGAAUUACCAGGUAAUCUCUCGCUUCCUACUGAA